rnacentral:rRNA from 1 species
AGAGUUUGAUCCUGGCUCAGGACGAACGCUGGCGGCGCGCCUAACACAUGCAAGUCGAACGGAGCUGAGAGGAGCUUGCUUUUCUUAGCUUAGUGGCGAACGGGUGAGUAACGCGUGAGUAACCUGCCCUGGAGUGGGGGACAACAGUUGGAAACGACUGCUAAUACCGCAUAAGCCCACGGUGCUGCAUGGCACUGCGGGAAAAGGAUUUAUUCGCUCUAGGAUGGACUCGCGUCCAAUUAGCUAGUUGGUGAGGUAACGGCCCACCAAGGCGACGAUUGGUAGCCGAACUGAGAGGUUGAACGGCCACAUUGGGACUGAGACACGGCCCAGACUCCUACGGGAGGCAGCAGUGGGGGAUAUUGCACAAUGGGGGAAACCCUGAUGCAGCGACGCCGCGUGGAGGAAGAAGGUUUUCGGAUUGUAAACUCCUGUCGUUAGGGACGAUAAUGACGGUACCUAACAAGAAAGCACCGGCUAACUACGUGCCAGCAGCCGCGGUAAAACGUAGGGUGCAAGCGUUGUCCGGAAUUACUGGGUGUAAAGGGAGCGCAGGCGGACCGGCAAGUUGGAAGUGAAAACCAUGGGCUCAACCCGUGAAUUGCUUUCAAAACUGCUGGCCUUGAGUAGUGCAGAGGUAGGUGGAAUUCCCGGUGUAGCGGUGGAAUGCGUAGAUAUCGGGAGGAACACCAGUGGCGAAGGCGACCUACUGGGCACCAACUGACGCUGAGGCUCGAAAGCAUGGGUAGCAAACAGGAUUAGAUACCCUGGUAGUCCAUGCCGUAAACGAUGAUUACUAGGUGUUGGAGGAUUGACCCCUUCAGUGCCGCAGUUAACACAAUAAGUAAUCCACCUGGGGGAGUACGACCGCAAGGUUGAAACUCAAAGGAAUUGACGGGGGCCCGCACAAGCAGUGGAAGUAUGUGGUUUAAUUCGAAGCAACGCGAAGAACCUUACCAGGUCUUGACAUCCGAUGCAUAGUGCAGAGAUGCAUGAAGUCCUUCGGGACAUCGAGACAGGUGGUGCAUGGUUGUCGUCAGCUCGUGUCGUGAGAUGUUGGGUUAAGUCCCGCAACGAGCGCAACCCUUAUUGCCAGUUACUACGUAAGAGGACUCUGGCGAGACUGCCGUUGACAAAACGGAGGAAGGUGGGGAUGACGUCAAAUCAUCAUGCCCUUUAUGACCUGGGCUACACACGUACUACAAUGGCGUUUAACAAAGAGAAGCAAGACCGCGAGGUGGAGCAAAACUCAGAAACAACGUCUCAGUUCAGAUUGCAGGCUGCAACUCGCCUGCAUGAAGUCGGAAUUGCUAGUAAUCGCGGAUCAGCAUGCCGCGGUGAAUACGUUCCCGGGCCUUGCACACACCGCCCGUC